rnacentral:rRNA from 1 species
AGUGAACGCUGGCGGUAGGCCUAACACAUGCAAGUCGAACGGCAGCACAGUAAGAGCUUGCUCUUACGGGUGGCGAGUGGCGGACGGGUGAGGAAUACAUCGGAAUCUAAUUUUUCGUGGGGGAUAACGUAGGGAAACUUACGCUAAUACCGCAUACGACCUACGGGUGAAAGCAGGGGAUCUUCGGACCUUGCGCGAUUGAAUGAGACGAUGUCGGAUUAGCUAGUUGGCGGGGUAAAGGCCCACCAAGGCGACGAUCCGUAGCUGGUCUGAGAGGAUGAUCAGCCACACUGGAACUGAGACACGGUCCAGACUCCUACGGGAGGCAGCAGUGGGGAAUAUUGGACAAUGGGCGCAAGCCUGAUCCAGCCAUACCGCGUGAGUGAAGAAGGCCUUCGGGUUGUAAAGCCCUUUUGUUGGGAAAGAAAAGCAGCAUGUUAAUACCCCGCUGUUCUGACGGUACCCAAAGAAUAAGCACCGGCUAACUUCGUG